GGACUACCAGGGUAUCUAAUCCUGUUUGCUCCCCUUGCUUUCGCGCCUCAGCGUCAGUUCCAGCCCAGAAAACCGUCUUCACCACCGGUGUUCUUCCACAUAUCUACGCAUUUCACCGCUACACGUGGAAUUCCGUUUUCCCUAACUGUACUCUAGUCGGGAAGUUUCAAAUGCAGCUCCGGGGUUGAGCCCCGGAAUUUCACAUCUGACUUUCCUAACCGCCUGCGCGCCCUUUACGCCCAGUAAUUCCGAUCAAUGCUUGCACCCUCCGUAUUACCGCGGCUGCUGGCAC
rnacentral:rRNA from 1 species